rnacentral:rRNA from 1 species
GACGAACGCUGGCGGCGUGCUUAACACAUGCCAGUCGAACGGAAAGGCCCUGCUUUUGUGGGGUGCUCGAGUGGCGAACGGGUGAGUAACACGUGAGUAACCUGCCCUUGACUUUGGGAUAACUUCAGGAAACUGGGGCUAAUACCGGAUAGGAGCUCCUGCUGCAUGGUGGGGGUUGGAAAGUUUCGGCGGUUGGGGAUGGACUCGCGGCUUAUCAGCUUGUUGGUGGGGUAGUGGCUUACCAAGGCUUUGACGGGUAGCCGGCCUGAGAGGGUGACCGGCCACAUUGGGACUGAGAUACGGACCAGACUCCUACGGGAGGCAGCAGUGGGGAAUAUUGCAGAAUGGGCGGAAGCCUGAUGCAGCAACGCCGCGUGCGGGAUGACGGCCUUCGGGUUGUAAACCGCUUUCGCCUGUGACGAAGCGUGAGUGACGGUAAUGGGUAAAGAAGCACCGGCUAACUACGUG